GCCCAUGUGGCGAAAUUGGUAGACGCAGCAGGUUGAGGGCCUGCCGGCCGCAAGGCCAUGCCGGUUCGAUCCCGGCCCUGGGCACCA
rnacentral:tRNA from 1 species